rnacentral:misc_RNA from 1 species
UGUGGGAGGGGGCUUGCCCUCGAUAGCGGUGUGUCAGUCGAUAGAUUUUUGACUGACCCGCCGCCAUCGGGGGCAAGCCCCCUCCCACA